UGCAAGUCGGACGGGAUUCAGGGAGUAGCUUGCUACAAACUGAUGAGAGUGGCGCACGGGUGCGUAACGCGUGAGCAACCUACCCAUAUCAGGGGGAUAGCCUCUCGAAAGAGAGAUUAACACCGCAUAACAUCAUUUACCGGCAUCGGUUUUUGAUCAAAUAUUUAUAGGAUAUGGAUGGGCUCGCGUGACAUUAGCUAGUUGGAGAGGUAACGGCUCACCAAGGCUACGAUGUCUAGGGGCUCUGAGAGGAGAAUCCCCCACACUGGUACUGAGACACGGACCAGACUCCUACGGGAGGCAGCAGUAAGGAAUAUUGGUCAAUGGAGGCAACUCUGAACCAGCCAUGCCGCGUGCAGGAUGACUGCCCUAUGGGUUGUAAACUGCUUUUGUCAGGGAAUAAACCUUUCUACGUGUAGGAAGCUGAAUGUACCUGAAGAAUAAGGAUCGGCUAACUCCGUGCCAGCAGCCGCGGUAAUACGGAGGAUCCAAGCGUUAUCCGGAUUUAUUGGGUUUAAAGGGUGCGUAGGCGGUCCUAUAAGUCAGUGGUGAAAGACGGCAGCUUAACUGUCGCAGUGCCUUUGAUACUGUAGGACUUGAAUCUAUUUGAAGUGGGCGGAAUAAGACAAGUAGCGGUGAAAUGCAUAGAUAUGUCUUAGAACUCCGAUUGCGAAGGCAGCUCACUAAGUUAGUAUUGACGCUGAUGCACGAAAGCGUGGGGAUCAAACAGGAUUAGAUACCCUGGUAGUCCACGCCCUAAACGAUGAUAACUCGAUGUUUGCGAUACACAGUAAGCGUCCAAGCGAAAGCGUUAAGUUAUCCACCUGGGGAGUACGGUCGCAAGAUUGAAACUCAAAGGAAUUGACGGGGGCCCGCACAAGCGGAGGAGCAUGUGGUUUAAUUCGAUGAUACGCGAGGAACCUUACCCGGGCUUGAAAGUUAGUGAAUGAUCCAGAGACGGAUCAGUCCUUCGGGACACGAAACUAGGUGCUGCAUGGCUGUCGUCAGCUCGUGCCGUGAGGUGUUGGGUUAAGUCCCGCAACGAGCGCAACCCCUAUGUUUAGUUGCCAGCAUGUAAUGAUGGGGACUCUAAACAGACUGCCAGCGUAAGCUGUGAGGAAGGUGGGGACGACGUCAAGUCAUCAUGGCCCUUACGUCCGGGGCUACACACGUGCUACAAUGGACGGUACAGCGGGCAGCUA
rnacentral:rRNA from 1 species